UUUUCUAUAAGCUUCGAGAAAUGAGAUUUAAAUUUUCUAUUUUUUAAAAGACUAUGAAGAAUGAACCUCAUUUAAAAAAUUCUUCGUCUCUUGGGAAUUCUUUUAAAGAACAUUAAGCAGCAUGCUUUUGAUGAAGCUAUAUACUUGGUUACUCGUUGGAAUGGACACCAGGUGAAUGUGUACCAGAAUUUUUUUCCGAUCUUCUGAUUUUUAAUUCUAUUCACUCAGAUUUAAAUGAUCUUGGCAUUCUAUGGUGGUGUGAUAGUCCAGAAGAUUUUGUGGCAAAGCAUAGAAAUGUUUUAGAAAGUUCUCAUGUAUCUGAGCCACUUCAUCACCGGAUGGAUUUAACUUUUGGUUAUAAAGUGUCUGACUCAAAAGAGAGUGGUGAUGAGGAAGGACAAGUCCAGCUUUUUUAAAACAUUUAGGUCAAAAUGUUCAUCUGCUUGCUCAAAAUCCAGACCGGAAAACCAAAUUAUUGUCUUACCCAAGGAUCCAUUAUCUUCCCGUCUUUAAGCUCUGCAUGCUUUUCAAUCUUGGUUUGAUGGAGAAUAUCAUCAUUUUAAUGAAUUUAAGGACUAUUCUCAAAUCAAUGAUGUUUCUGUAAAUUAUUUACGAGGCAAAGAUAUGGUAGCUCUUGGUUGCCUGAUUAGUGAAAUCGCUCUAUCAACUCAUUGUAAAGUUUUACCUCGAAACUCUUCUUUCAAAACAUGUUAUGAUCACUUACUUAAACUAUUACGAAUAUAUAGACAAGAAAUACCAAGCAAAUUGCAGGCAUCAAAGAGAAUGCCAUUUUAGAGCGAGUCAUUCUGGGCCACAGAAGUCUCCAAGGAAUGCCUCAGCAACUUGCAGAAGUGUAUUACAUUAUGGAAGCCCAGCAGCUCAAUGGUUAUUGCUUAGAGUGUUUUCUUGCCAAAGCUACUAAAAGCAACUAUUUUGUUCAUUUUUUUCUGUGGCAACCCUGUGAUCAAACCAUUGGGAAUAUAUCACUCCUAUUGCAUCUUCCUCCUAUAUUUUAGAUGUCAGAAAUCUGAAUCCGUCGAAAAAAGAGUGCUCUUGUAGUUGCUAUAUUGAAUAUCCAUAUUCCAAUUGCAUUGGGUGCAUUUCAAUGAAGUUAGAAAAUUAAACAGCACAUUAGGAGUAGUCUAUUUCAAGGACUUGCUAAUUUAGCUCUAUAUGAUCCAUUGCUCAUCUGUCCUUAUUAUUUGGGCAGUUCAUUCCUGGUUUAGCUGCAGGUGCAAGAAUUUUUCAAGUAACCAAGUUUUAUCUGGCAUUUAUUUAGAUGUGAAUGUACUCAGAAACUAAAUACUAUUUUAAAGUACAUGAAUUCAUCUCCAGAGAUACCUUUGAAAGGAGUGAAAAUAAUUGAGCUUUUUGGGGAAGUACAAUUUUGAGAUGUUACUUUUAGAUAUCCAUCAAGACCUAAUCAGGUUAAUCUGGUCACUUUUAAAAUUAAACUAUUUUAUUUCAGGCUCUUUGAAAUAUGAAUAUCUAUUGUAAUAUUGUUAUUUAUGAAGGUUUGUAAAAUAUAUCAUUCUUGAUAUUUAAUAUUGAACUUUUUAAAAUGAAUGUAUUGUA
rnacentral:lncRNA from 1 species